rnacentral:rRNA from 1 species
ACGCUCGACACCUACGGGAAGGCAGCAGUAGGGAAUCUUCCACAAUGGACGCAAGUCUGAUGGAGCAACGCCGCGUGAGUGAAGAAGGUCUUCGGAUCGUAAAACUCUGUUGUUAGAGAAGAACACGAGUGAGAGUAACUGUUCAUUCGAUGACGGUAUCUAACCAGCAAGUCACGGCUAACUACGUGCCAGCACGGCCGGACGGUAAUCUGGAGGCGGGCGUGGACGAAGGC